GGUGACUCUGACUCAUUCUGACAGAGUUGCACCUGUGUCGAGAUCUAUUUGGGUUUGAGUUGGCACAACACGAGGAAGACGCCAAAGGCAAGACAUUCUGGAGACAAAAAACAGAGUUUGUCUCACACACCACCACAAACUGUAAACACCUUUUAAACUGAACGUCCACAUUGAACAGUGGGCUGGCUGACAAGACCGACGCAAGAGCUCCUGAGACAUGUCCAAACAAUUCGCCUGGUCUGAGUGAGCUGGUUGUGGGAAGCAGAAACGGUGGCCUGACCUUCAAUAUUUGGAAGACGUCGCUCUUGGAAAUUAGAUAUGUUCAGAUAUGUUGUGGGUCUGAAUCUAAGGACCAGAACUCCCAGAACCGUCCCUGAACAAACACCAGCGACACAAACUUCCACUGAUGGAAGAUCACAACGAAAAGAGGAAGUAAAGUUCAUAGAAGUGCAUUAUGUAAAUAAACAAUCACUAUACAAUA